UACGGAGGGUGCGAGCGUUGUCCGGAAUCACUGGGCGUAAAGGGCGCGUAGGCGGCGCGGGUAGUCAUCGGUGAAAGUUCAGGGCUCAACUCUGAAUCGGCCGGUGAUACUCCCGUGCUCGAGCACUGUAGAGGCAGGUGGAAUUCCGGGUGUAGCGGUGGAAUGCGUAGAGAUCCGGAAGAACACCGGUGGCGAAGGCGGCCUGCUGGGCAGCAGCUGACGCUGAUGCGCGACAGCGUGGGGAGCAAACAGG
rnacentral:rRNA from 1 species